CUGACGGGGACCGUGGGGUCCGGAGCUCUCCUGUCCGUGGGGUCUGACGGGGACCGUGGGGUCCGGAGCUCUCCUGUCCAUGGGGUCUGACAGGGACCGUGGGGUCCGGAGCUCUGCUGUCCAUGGGGUCUGACUGGGACCGUGGGGUCCGAAGCUCUGCUGUCCUUGGGGGUCUGAUAGGGACCGUGGGGACCUGGAGCUCUCGUGCCUUAGGGGGUGGGAGUGUCAGAUGGGGACCUGGAGAUGUCCUGCCUAUGGGAUCUGAUACGAUGACACUGGGGGGCCUGGAGCCUUCCUGUCCAGGGGGGGAGUCUGAUUUGGAACAGGGGGUCUGUGGCUGUCCUGUCCAUGGGGUCUGAUGGAGAACAGGGGGUCUGCAGCUGUCCUGUCCAUAGGGUCUGAUGGAGAACAGGGGGUCUGCAGCUGUCCUGUCCAUGGGGUCUGAUUUGGAACAGUGGGUCUGCAGCUGUCCUGUCUAUGGGGUCUGAUGGGGAACAGAACUGGCUGCCAGCUUGGGAGUAUCCUGAUGUCCCCCAGCCCAGAGGAGUCUGACUGGACCUGACUCUGGCUACCUGCCCAGGGAGCCUGAAUCCCCCCUGCCCAGGGAAUGUGGCCAGGACCCUCUUGCCAUUGCCCCCAGGCCCUUGCUCUCCAUGAGCAUCCAUGCGGCCCUGGCCCCAUUAAACCUUCUCCGAAGGGCCUGUCCCUGGCUGCUGUUCCUGUCAUGGCCGAAUCGUGACAGCCUGUCCGUGGCUGGCUCUGGCCUCCAGAGAGGGAGGUGUUUCUCUUCCGAGGAGAGCUGUUUAUGCCCAGUGAUUUUUUUUUUUCUAUUUUUUUUAUUUCUUUCCCCUCCCUCCGUGCUCUCCACAGCAGCAGCUCGGUGUCUGCCCAGCCGGCAGUGUUACGGCAUGGCUCCUAUGUAGGUGAAGCUGGGGAACGCUGCAAGGAUCAUGUGGAGCUCUCAGUCUCCUGAGCCUGGAGCUUUGAGCCUAUUUAUAGCAUAACUUCAGCGUUCGUCCAUCAGCAUCUUCUGGGUGUUGAUGCCUCAUCCGUAGCUGUUGGGAGAUCAUCCAUCCUCAUUUCCCGGCUUGGUGGCAGCGCUCCAGGAUUGAGGAGCGGUGGGGAUGAGGUUUUUCCCGUUGAUAGGAGCAGGAUUCCCGAUGUGGGGAGCAGCAGGUGGAUUUUGGCUCUGCGGGAGAAGCCUCUGGGGAGCGGCAGCGCUGCGGCGGAGGAGCUGCGUGUGCUCCCGGCAGAUGUCGGCGCUGCCUGCCUUCCAUGGAAUACUCCUCUCCUUCCCGGCGCUUUUUCCAGCGUUGCCCUCUGCCGGAGGAAAACCGCAGCGCCGUGGAUUUCACCCCUGGAUGGAGUUCUUCCUUGGCAGAUCCAGUUUCGACAGCCCACCUUCCUCCUGGAGCUGCUGUUCCAGGCAGAGUCCUGCUCUUCCUCCUCAUCCCUGUACGUGAGCAUCUUUCAGGGAAACCGGUUUGGAUAAACGAAAGCCAAACACUGGAUCCAGCAUGAUGGGAUCAGCUGCUUCUCCAAAGGUUAUUGUCCUGGAACCACAACUAAUUCUGCCAGGGGGUAGUCCACCUUUCCCAUAAAACAGCUUUUAAUCUUUGGAUUGUCAGCCCUGUCUGCUUUUGGUAGUCCAGACGCUUUUAAAACAAUAUUGAGCUAAAAAAAAAAAAAUCAGUGUUUUGAAUGUAAAUACGCUUAAAUUUGGUUUAAUUUUUUUUGGUGUUAACACUAUAUGAAAUAGUAAUAAGGUUGGAGCAGUUAAAUGUACAAAAUUUCACUAAUACUGCCCGUAUCUGCUGUUCCGAUCAGCCUGUACUAUAGCACAGCUAUAUGUUGUGGGUUUUCUUUGUUUUGGUUUUGUUUUUGUUGGGGUUUUUUUUUAGGAUUUUUUUGUUGUUAUUUGUCUAUUUUUUUUUGUUUUUUCUUUUUUUUUGUUACUGUUUGUUUUUUUGUGGUUUGUUUUAUUCAGUUUAUUUUUAUUUAUUAAUAAUAAUAAUUAUUAUUGGGGUUUUUUUUGGGGGUGAAAUUUUAUUUUCCUUUGUGCUUUUGUGACUUAGGAAAAGGCCUUCUUAUCAGUUUUCAAGAAACUGCAGGUUUCAUGCAUUGCUGGUGUUGAUGUUAACAGGAGUUAAGCAGGGCAGAGCUCAGCUGUACUGUUUCAGUGGGAUUUGAGUGGGGACCUCUGUUCCCCAAGUCCUUGUUAAUGGAAGUGCUGACAUUCACGGGCAAGUCCUCGCUGAAUAUUGGAGACAAAAAAGGCAGAGAUGGUGACUGUGGAGAAGUAACCAGGAAUUGUGAGCUGAAAUGCUAUUUAUUGAAUAAAACCGAAUUCCUCAAAAGCAGUAUUACUUCAGCAGUGUAUGAGUCACAUCUAUAAGCAGCAAUAAUUUGUACUGGAGCCCAAAAUUGUGUAAUACAGUGGGGGGAAAAAGCUGGUAGGGACAUUUGAUAAGUUCACCCAGGCCUCCAGCGUUGUGCUGGGAGAGCAGCAUCGGUCAGAGCACUCUUUCAAUUACAGAAGCGUGGAAAAUAGAUCCUCAUUGUGCAGCAUGGAUGGCAGGAUCCAGCCCUUCACUCCUGCAAGCAGAUGUGCAGUAUGAUUCCUGCAGCAGAUUUCAGGCUCCGAAUUGGAGCUCUCACUGCUCCGUUUCUCAGCUUUUUUGUGCCCUUCCCCCUUUCCAGGAUAUAGUGCAAUCACUGGUCGUUUAAAGACUACUGGUUUCAAAAACAAGCCUGGUAGCCUUUUCCUGUGAAGCAAAUUUUGUGUUCCUGUGGGUACAGUUACUCUGAGAAGGUUUAUGGAAGAUUAUUCUCCUGGUUGCCUGGAUCAGGUAAAUACUAUAAACAUAAUUUGUCAUGUCUAAUGUUUUCCUGGUCAAGUUCUCUGUAGGCUAUAUCUAGUUGUAUUAAUCAGUUUUGUUGAUGUUCUCUUUUGCAAUUACAAAGUAAUCCUAUAUCUUUUGCAAUUACAAAGUACUCCUAUAUCAUGAAUAGGUUUAAUUCUGUUCCAGAUGCUAUGGGCUGAUAAAGUGCUAAUGGGUCUUCUGGCAGUUUCUUGUGAGAUCAGUUUCCAUGAAAAAAAUGUAUUUACCCAAAGUAAAGUAAAAAAAAAAAAAAUAUGCUUUAAAGCACAGGUUUGUGGUGUGCAUACAAUUCCUGGUAGACAAGGAUUGUAAUUUGUUUGUUUUUUUUUUUUUAUAAUUCUGCUACUUUAGAAAAAUCUCCCUGACCAGAUGAAAACUGUUAGCUCUGAGACUUUCAAAUGCAGUCUCUUUGGUACCUGUGUCAGCAUUAAUUAUUGUAUAGCUCUGAUGUUACGUAUAAAGUGACACCUCUUCUGGCCUGCAACAUUUUUCCUGGGCAAACUAUGCUUGGCUUAUUUAGUUUUCAUAUUUGAUACAUAAAUCUUUGUGAAGAUCUUAAACAAUGUUGUUCAGCUGUUCAUUGUUCUUCCUGGUAACGUGGACAGAUACGCAUCAUGUUUUUGAAAGAGCUUGCAAUGAUUCUUUCCCAGUUCACGACUUUUCCCUUGAAAUGUUCCUUCAUGGUUGUGCCUGCAGUCAGUGUCCAUCCUAGGUCUUGUUUUCAGGCUGCUGCUGCCUUGCAGGAAACAAAAAUGAGAUGACUAAGUCUGUGCUUUCCCUGCAAGUGGCAUUCGUGAUUUGUCUGUUUUCUUCAGUUGUUUUUCUGCUUUUCCUGCAGCAGAAGGAGACUUUGCCUCAUUCCUGAGUGCUGGGUUAUCUUUGUGGUUUGUUGAUUCUGGAUAUGCAAAGAAAGAAUCUGCAAGAGCAGAAAUUCCAGCAGGGAAGGACAGCAGCAGGGAGGUUCUCUCUUCAUCCAGUCACAGUCAGACUCCUAAGAUCAGCUUUCCAUCCUGAUGUGUGUUUUGUUCCCUUCUGCCCAUCACUGCCACCAGGUACCCAAAGCACAGGGAUGGGCAAAACCCAUCCUAGGCUCUCAGCACUGCUUAAAGCAAUGUUCCCUUGGAUUGCAGCAGUGUGGUUCAUAACUUAAGAGGUUUCUGGAGUUAGGAAUGGGAUUGUGGAGUCCUAAAAUGGUUUUGGUUGCAAGGGACUUCAAAGAUCAUCCAGUGCCACCCCCUGCCACAGGCAGGGACAUCUUCCACUAUCCCAGGUUGCUCCAAGCCCCAUCCAGCCUGGCUUUGGACACUUCCAGGGACCCAGGGGCCACCACAGCUUCUCUGGGCAGCCUGUGCCAGGGCUUCCCCCCACCUCACAGGGAAGAAUUUCUUCCUAUGAAAUAAUCCUUCCAGUUUUUUUCUCUAGGUCAGGGCCUGUAAGUAGGUGAUUUCCCAUCCUGUGGUUCUAAGUUAUGUUUUCCUGGCAUCUCCACUGUGUGUGCUAGAUGGAUAAAGGUUUUCAGCGUACUUGAUUAUAAGAAUGAUUUUCUAGCAGCCUUUCUUGCAUAACUGACUACAGAAUGAAUUUCCCUGCUAGCAUUUAGUUUAAAAUGGAUGAAGAUUAUAAAUACAUGUUUUUUCAGCUAAUCUUGCUCAGCUGACCUCUGUACUUCUACAUUCUGUGUCUCUCAAGGGUUCUGUUAAAUAAUAUUUAUAUUAAUAGUACCAUCUACUGCUGAAUCCCUCCUGUGGUUUAUAAGAGCAUAUUUAAGUAUUACAUUAUGUUAACCAGCUUCACUGGUAGCUCAGAAUUCAAGCUGUUUGUAUUUGCAGUUCUGCUGAUAAGUCCUUCAUCUCCUGUGUGUUGUAAAUAAGAUUUGGACCUGUAGAGAAGGAGGCCUGGGCAGGAGGGGCUGGGAUUCUCCAGCCCUGCAGGGAAAGGGGAUGUCCAAAGAUGCAUCCACAGCCACCUUUGCUCCUGGGGAAUUUGGGGUGCAUGGGUCAGUGUCACCAGCACCAAGGGCACAGCAGAGGAGGUAGGGAGGGGAUUCUCUGUGAGAAUCUGUGAUGUCUGUGAGCAUCAGUUCUGGAAGUGCAGAAACACAGAAACCUCAGCUGGGUAAGAUUUAAAAGUCAGAGACUGUGAGGAAGAGACAAGUGGCUAAUAACAUAGGGGGACCAGAGUAGAAUCAUAAAAUCAUUCAGGUUGUAAAGGACCUUUAAGAUUGAGUCCAGCCAUUAGCCAGUGCUGCCAAGUCCACAGCUUAAUAUAAAAAGUCAAACAAAACUGCUUCCUCUGUACACAAAAAUCAAAUUUGAAGAGUUCAUUGAGCUUCUCUAUAUUAUAUCUGCUUAUUACUAAUUCAUGUUCCUAAUACAUAUUAUUAGGCACUUUUGCUAACUUUAGGAGCCUAUCAACUGACUUUUAUGAACUCUGUGCUACAUUAUUAUAUAAUUAUAAUAUUAUAUUACCUACCUCUUGGUGGGGAAGAUACCUGUGUGUCCAUCUGGGAAGAUGUCAUCUCGUGCUCAGCUCCAAGACAAGGCAGCAGUUCUGAGGCUCCCACCUUUGCUGUCUCAUCUUCCUACAUGUUGGGUUUCUACUGGGAUCUUCCAUUUCCCUUCCAACUGGCUGUGCUUCCUGUUGAUUUGCUUAUUGCUCUUCCUAAUGAGUGCUUGUGUAAACACAGAAGGGUUGGGUGCCUUUUAUUGAAAGAAACUUGGAACUGUUGGAGGAAUUAACUCCAGGGAUGUCAAAUGCCUGGAGCUGUGGUGCAGAAGUUAGUGCAGGAAUAAUGCAUGGAUCUUAAAUUUAGAUUUCAUGGAAAGAUAUGUCUUUGUGUUACCACUAGAUUAAUGUGUUGGCCCGGGAUAAUACUGGCUUUUGAAGAGCUUAUCUUAAAAUGUUUAAAAAUCUGUUCUUGUGUUUUACCAUAAACUGAUGUGGUCCAGCAGUCAUCUGGCUCACAUACUGGAAAUAUUUUGUUUUUCUUUUAACAUGACUCAUUACCAUGCAUUUGUAACUAUGGUUCUUUUCUCUUAAAGGAUUUGUUCUGCCCUUUAAUUAUCAUGUUUUGGGGCAUUCAGGUUUGACUUAUUACCAACAUAGAAAUUCCUCCAGGGACUUCUAGCUUCCAAAUAAAUGUUAUAGGCUGUUUGCCCGUAAAAUUAGCAGUCCUUAUUACUUCUCCGUUAGUCUAAAUUAGAUCUUCAGUGAGGUUAUGUUGCCCUAGUGCAUGUGUGAAUCUUACAACUUAUUUAGGGUGUCAAAAAUACUGCUUUUGAUGUGUUUGGGGAAGUUCAGCUGCUGGAGGUGCUCUCGCUUGCUCAGUAGCAGUGGUGUGUGUUUGUACUGAUGAAAUAACAAGUGAACUAUUGUGGCAGUUGUUAUUACUGAUCAUUUGGACUUGAAAAAACAUGAAGAAGCAUUGUCCAUGUAUUCCUGUUCUCAAUAAGGUGUUCCAUUAAUAGCUAGUGGCCAUUUCCCUUCUUCUGUAUUAUUAGGUAUGUUCUGGUUUCUCUUAAGACUUUUUUUUUUUUUUUUCAGUCAUAGAAUUAGAAUAUCUGUUUUUCUUUGCUUCCUGAAGGAUGAUCUUGCAGUUCCUGUUAAUUUUUUUUUAAUUGCUGAAGGGGUUAUUUUAAAUAACAGAUCUUUUGAUUGAGUCAGUUUUGUUCAUUAUUUCUUCAGUAUUGGACAAUUCUCUUUCCUUACCUUGGUUUCUUGUCUAAGAUACUUAUUGCUGAUGGUGUUGGUGAUAUUCCUGCAGAAUUAAUGCUAACUGCUAGUAAGAAUAUUGAACUGGAAAUGGUUUCCUAGGAGUCUAAGUCUUGUCACUUGAUAUAGGAAGCCUGAUGUUGUAUAAUUGCUAUAUAAUUUGUACUUUAAAAUAAUCAAACUCCAUCUUAAGGACAGUUUGUUUUUACUUCCAUUAUUGGAAUUAGAAGAAAGAUUACAAUUUUCAGAGCACCCAGGAUCUUAAAAGUCAUCAAAUUGCCAGCCUAACAUUUUGAAGAGCCAUUUCAUGCUCACUUUUUAAUGAUAAUUGCAGAGUUUGCCUUAUACCUCUUUACUUGUGUUUAUAGCUCUAAUGCUUUUAUGACCAGGAACUAUAUCAGUUACUACCUCUUUGGUCAGGUAAGCAAACAAAGCCUCUAGUCUACAUUCAGUAUUGAAUUUUCCAUUCUCCUGACCGCCCCAAACUGUGCCUGCUCUGCAUUCUUGGCUCAGCUCAGAGCUGGCGUUGCACCUUGGUUUGCCUGCAGCCAGAACACUUAAACCAGCAUGGGACACAGUGUCCCUCCCUGAGGAUCUCUGUAUUCCUCCAGGAGGUCUGUGGUGAGUUCAGCUUGCUUUGCUGGGCUCUGACGUGCACUUGGAAUGGUUCAUCAAAGCACAAACAUGAUUUAAGGAACUGUUCUUAAUCGUGUUGCUGUUGUUUGCUGCAGCUGAGGCUGCACGAAAUGAGUGCUCGGCUCGCCCUCCAUUUCCUGCCUCACAAACCUCAUGGUCCUGCCUUUCAUUUUGGAGCUGUGUUGUUUCAAGCAUUGAAUGCUUGAACACAAAGCAUGGAUGGAGCAGAGGAUGGCAGAGCAGAGGCUUGUCCAGGCUGGGAUUCAUCAAUUCUGGCAGCAAGAACCAGCAGCCACUGUCCUGUGACUGCUGACACUGAUCUUGGCUGAGGAAUCAGCAUUUCGGGUCUAAGCCUAUGGCUAGUGGUCAGACAAUGUCCUUUUUUCUUUGAGUUUUUGUUUUUGGUCCUCCUAAACUUGCAGUGAAAUGGGCCAGGUAAAUCUGCCAAGCACAGAACUUGCAGUUGCAAGGCAGAGCUUAACCAUCUGCUGCCAUUCCUGCUACCUCAGACCACCUUUCUUUCCAUGCUCCAGAGGGAAUCCAGUUCCCUUAAGCAGGGCACGCACAGUAAUUAGGUGAAUUUUCCAGGCAGCCAUAAAUUGGGGUCAGGGUUGCUUUAUUUAGCAGGUGUGUCACUCUGAUGAUCCAUGGUCACUUAGUAAUGGGCUAGGAUUUUUCCUCCUUCAGAGUUUCCAAAUUAAGGAGCUGUUCACCUGGUGGGAAUAUGUAUUUUACCCAGGUAUAUGACUGCACAUCUGCUGCUAUUGAAAUUCAUCCCACUUCUAUUAUUUAAGUCUAUUUUUUAAGUACUUUUUGUACAUUCUCCUGGUUCUCCUUUCCUAACUCAGUUUUAUCAAAAGCCAUAAACAAAAGCCAGGAUUACUAGUGGGGGAAAAACGCUCCAAAACUUAGCCCAACCUGGCAAAUUUAUAAUUCUCAGCAUCUACACAUGUCCACCAAGACCACAACUAGUUACAUGUGAAGAACUUAGUACAGCCCAUGUGUUGAAAAUACUUGUUUUUUUUUUCAUGUUCUCUUCUAGCAAGACUUAAAAGAUGUCCCAGGAUAUAUGGGUGGAUUUAAAAAGCAGAUUGUGAGGUCUUCUUGGGGGCGUUGCAGUCACUUGGAAAUAUCCUGCUCAGCAAGGUAAACCAGAGAUCUUGUAUAUUUUUGAAUGGAGAAAUGUGGAACGUUCUUCCAAUCAGUGAUAGAAGAGCUCGUAAGAGAAUGGUUACAUUUUUGUGUGAUUUGGGUAGGAAUAAUGAAGGCUUUAAAUCCACAUACUUGGCUAAGUUCAUUAAAAAAGAAACCACAUAAAGAAUGGAGAAAGGAUUAAACCUGUUUCAAAAGAUGAGAAGAUAAAUAGAACCUGAAAGCCACUCUAACACGUCAAACAAUGAUAAAUAAAUAUUAAACAGUCUUCAGUCAAUUCAAAUCAGAAAAAGAAUGGAAAAGCAUAGCUCUCAUUGCAGGUGAUGACAUUUAACAGUUGCUUCCAUCCUUUGUAAGGAUGAGGAAAGGCAUGAUAAUUAAUGAACAUGAUGGUUUAGAAGGUGGCUAAGAGGUAGGGACAGAUAGUUUUGGAAGGGAAGGAAAAGGGUGGGUUGGUAGAAAAUACAUGGAUUUUCUAGUACAUGGUUGGCAUGGCUGUGAGGGGUCACAUCAUCUGCCUGUUGGGGCUUAGAGAUAAUAUUCAAAAUGUAAGAAAAUUGUUGUAAGGUUGUGAUAUUACAGAUAUUUGUGUUUCAUUGCUUGGAUAUGGCAGGAGUGUUGCAUUGGUCUCUAUUUUUAGACCUGUAAAAACCUGAUUCCUUUGAUCUGCAGUUUUCAUUGUUGGGUGGCAUUGAGUGAACAGUGGACACGCUAAAAGAAAGAGGCAGUGAGAAAAUGCUGCUCUUUUUCAUGUUGUAAUUGUGUGGUGUUUACAUGAAGCUGUGAGGUCACUGGCUUCCGGUACGAGCCGCUUCCUGAAAACCUUCUACAUGGUACAUCUAUAAAUGUACUUCUUAGAAAAACUCAGCUGAUUUUUGGUUUUCCUUCUCGUGCUGCUGCCUGACCACCUGACUUUUGUUUCUACUCCAGAAUUUGUGUAGCAGUGCAGCAUAGUGAUCCCUUGGAAUGGAGGGUGAUGCUGCAGGAGGCACAGGAUGUGCUGGAGAAGGUACCACAGAGAAAUUGGGUUCACAAAACCCAAAGCAGGCAGUGGGAGCAUGGAAACAAACACACAGUCUGACACCGAGAAAGUAUUGAUAAUCUCAGGCUUUAGCAAACUGUGAGUCAUACAUUGACAGGUGAUACAGUCAGGUUUGAAAUAACGAGGUAAAACCAGCAUCAGCAAAAUUGCUCCAUGUUCCUAUUUUCCUGUUGGGUUUCAAGUACGUAAAAAGCCAUUAGUUACUUGCAAAACCUGUUGAAAUGAAGUAAUUUUAUUUUUUUACUGCAAGGUUCUCAUGUUGUAAGUGGCUUCUAAACUUCAAUGUUUGGGAAUCAUGGCAUCAUUAGGCUUGGGAAAGCCCUCUAAGAUCACGAAGCACAACCAUUCCCUCAUCACAUCCCCAAAUGCCACAUCUUCAUGUCCUUUCAACCCCUGCAUGGAUGGGGACUGUCCUAAUCCCUAGCAACCCUUUUGGUGAAGAAAUUUUCCAUAAUAUCCAACCUAAACCUCCCCUGGUGGAGCUUGGAGCAGUUUCUUCCUGUCCUGUCUCUUGUUGUUCAGGAGAUGGAAGUAGCCAUCAAAUUUCUGUAAGACAUGAAGGAUUUGGCAAUAAUAAAAAAAACCCCGAGCACAUAUAUAUGUGUGUGUGAUAGAGAAAACAUGCAGGCAAGGUUUAUUGCUCGUCACAUAGAACACAGUUUUGGGUUGUAUGACAUUUAUAAUGUAAAAGAGAUUAUUCCAACCAAAAUGCGUUCUUUGAAGUGAAAUAUGGUCCUCGUAGAGCAAUAUAUAAAUGAACUUAACUGUGGCAGGUCAGCAUGUGUGGGAACCAGGAAAGCUGAAAAGAAUGUCUGUUGGAAGAAUUAGAAUUCUAAAGUAGUUUUAAUAGAGUUAUGUCUGUGUUUUUAAAUUUUUUAACCAGAUUAGAUGAAUUGAAAUAUUUCAAAUGUGUAUGUAUUUUAAAAAUAUAACAGUAUAAUCCUAAAAUGCCUGGAUGAAAUAUUUGAGUUGAAUAUUUUUUUCUAUUUUGUGGGGAUUUUUUUCUUCAUAUUAAUUAGCUAAAAUACUACUUAAGGCUAGUACCUAACCUAGCAAAGACUAGCUAGAAUACCUUUAAAGGAGUGCUUUUAUUUAUAAAUUAUCUCAGUGUUGCAGUAUAUGAAAAUACAGACAUUCUGCUGUGAAAAUGAGUGUUUUAACAUUAUGUGUCAGUUUGAAGGUUGAAGAUAAAUGUGAAUUUCUGGGUUUAGUAAUACAUUCAUUCAUUUCAAAUCAGGUUAUUUUGUUUGAUGACCAUGCACAAUAUACUGAAACUUACUAGACUUCACAGAAGUAAUUACAAUGGGAAAUUCUUGAAUACAAAUUAUUCUUAAAUUUACAAGCACUUUUAACAAUACUGUGGUUUUAGCCAGUCAUCAUGCUGUUUUAUAACAGCUGUAAACUUAUUUCCAGCAUGACAUGCUGCUUGUCGACCUAAAGUUGGCAACAUUCCUGUGAAUUUCCAUGGUAAUUUUAUUGGUAAUUAGCAUUUGUCAAUAGCUUUGUGUGUCAUAACCCUUACAUGUCCCAAACCUCUUCUGUCUGUAUAGCAGUGAGAUUCCUAAAAUUCAGCUUUGUGGCUUUUGUCACCCCUGUAGGAAGAACCAGGGGUUUAAAUUCCCUCAGUGUGAUGAUGUUCACUGUUCUGUUGAUACUGUGUUUUUUUCCUCUCAUUGUCUGGGUUUUAAACUUGUAGCUGUGGCACCAGCAUCCUCAUUUUCUGGUGUGUUUCUUCUUUUAUCCUGGGUCUUAGGGAGGAUGUAGUGUGGUCGUAAGAAUUUCAGGUUUUCCCAAAAUGUUAUACUUGCUUGAGGUCCGGGUGAACUUUCACUUCAGUCUGGUAGAGCCCUUGGUGAUUUCUGCAUUUCUCUGUAGGUUGAGAAAUAAUCUGGGAAUAUACCUUUAAUUGCUUUUUGUCAUUUCUCAGGUGAGUGCAUGAUCACCUGACAGGUGGAAAAAAAACCUCAGGUAAAAUGUUUUGGACAAAAAUGCAAUAACCUCUGAUGGAAAAGGGUUCAGAUAAAGUGACCUGAACCCUUUGGCCUGCAGAGCUGUAGUUCAGCUGCAUUGUAGAAAUGAAGUUCAUGUAUCUUUAGUAGUGAUCACACUGGAGGAACAUUUGGGUUUAUUCAUCUUUUAAAAGUUCCAUCUUUUUUGGUGAAACUGGGAUAUAGACUUAGCUGAAAAUUGUGUUGGAGUAAUUUAGUUUUCUAUGUUGCUUAGAAUCCUAAACCUUGAAGUGCUUUGCCCUUUGUGUGUUCUUCUGAAACAUUAAGUUGUUCUAUUUGGUUUUACAUUUGCUAUGCAGUAGUUACUAGAUAUCUUUGCAUCUUGAUUUUAUCUCCAGUGAAUCCCUAGUGCUGAGCUUGUGGGAGCUUUAUUUGGGUGAGUAACAGUGAGCAGUAUGUGGCUUGACGGCUGGAAUUUCCCAAAAUCAAAGUGAAAUGAAGGAAAUUAAGAGUUAAAGCAAGGACAGGAGCUUGCAGCAGCGGAUCAGUGCAGUUUCAGAUAGUUAUCACUAGGAGGACACACAGACCGUGGUAUUAAGGAACUAAUUGUUUAUCUUUUCCUAUUAACCGGUUUGGUGCUGAAAAAUUUUGUCUUGAAUGGGUGCCAUAUAGUAAUGUGUUAAUUUAGUAAUGUGUUAAUUAAGAUACUUGAUUUUACUAGAAAUUAAAAGAGAGGCUUGUGUAAAUGGACAAAACCAGAGUGUGAUGACAUGAGGAAAUCUCCCGGGGAUUUCUUUGUUGGUGAAGCAGAGCACAGAUUGUGGAGGGUGUUCGUCCACCAGAAAUAGGUGACAUUUAGGUAGAAGUGAUCCCUUUUUCUUACCAUAUACUUUACAGCUUGUGUUGCAAGGAAUUCCUUACACUUUUCUGUGAAAUGUUUGUGGUGUUUCCUGCUGGUCAGGACGCUGAGUGAGUUGGAUCAGUGGCUGGGAUUUGAUGUGGUGUUGGCUGUAAUCUUCAUUUAAUCUGUUUGUGGUGUUUCCAAGUGUUUGCAAAUAGCUUUUCUUUUACUUGUCUAUAUGUGUUUACUUAGAUUCUGAUGUGCAGUGUCUGUGUCAGGUUGAGUAAUAUGGAAAUUAGUCUAAUUGAUUUAAAUAGUUUGUAGACUGCCCAUGUUGCUGAGGCAAGCUGUUACCUAAUAAAGACUUUGGAAUCUGACUCUUUCUGUAUAGAAUGAUUAUUGAUAUCACACAUGCAGACAAAGAUGAUAACUGAAGCAUAUGCUUCAAAUAAAAUGACACGAGAAAA